UGGGGGUGGGGUGGUGAUGAGGUGGGGGUGGGUGAGUGGCAGGCACACCACACCCAGGGAGGUCAGCUCACUUGGUGUUGCUCAUGUGUUUAUUGGUGCUGGAAUCUCCCUGACAUAUUUAACCUGUCUAGACCUCUGUUUCCUCAUCUGUCAGGGUAAGGUCUCCUGGGUCACAGCCCUUGUUUGUCUUCAUAGUCAUCAUGAUUGGCUUUAGGAUCACCAUGGAAACAGACCUCUGGGGCAGCGGAUUUGUUUUUCAGAGAGUUUAACUGAGGAGAAACUCAGCUGGGGUUCCAGGACCAGUGAACCUGAGGCUGUGAGGGGAAUCUUGGUACUUCUCUCUGCCUGCUUCCUCACCAGCCUCAGGACCAGCUGCUUCUCACAGUGUCCCCCCACCCUUCCCCCACCGCCAGGUCACGCACUGUUCUCUCCAGCACCAGCCGG
rnacentral:lncRNA from 1 species